UUGCAGUUAAACGCUCGUAGUCGGAUUUCGGGGCGAGCCUGCCGGUCUGCCGAUGGGUAUGCACUGGCAGGGUCGUCCUUCCUUCCGGAGACUGUCCCUACUCUUAACUGAGCGGGGUCGGGAGACGGAUCGUUUACUUUGAAAAAAUCAGAGUGUUUCAAGCAGGCAGCUCGCUCUUGCAUGGAUUAGCAUGGGAUAAUGAAAUAGGACUUUGGUGCUAUUUUGUUGGUUUCGAACACCGAAGUAAUGAUUAACAGGGACAGUCAGGGGCACUCGUAUUCCGCCGAGAGAGGUGAAAUUCUCAGACCAGCGGAAGACGAACCACUGCGAAAGCAUUUGCCAGGGAUGUUUUCACUGAUCAAGAACGAAAGUUAGGGGAUCGAAGACGAUCAGAUACCGUCGUAGUCUUAACCAUAAACCAUGCCGACUAGGGAUUGGAGGAUGUCCUUUUUUGACUCCUUCAGCACCUUACGGGAAACUAAAGUCUUUGGGUUCCGGGGGGAGUAUGGUCGCAAGGCUGAAACUUAAAGGAAUUGACGGAAGGGCACCACCAGGAGUGGAGCCUGCGGCUUAAUUUGACUCAACACGGGGAAACUUACCAGGUCCAGACAUUGUGAGGAUUGACAGAUUGAGAGCUCUUUCUUGAUUCGAUGGGUGGUGGUGCAUGGCCGUUCUUAGUUGGUGGAGUGAUUUGUCUGGUUAAUUCCGUUAACGAACGAGACCUUAGCCUAUUAAAUAGUGGCGCGAACACUUCGUUGGCGGUUC
rnacentral:rRNA from 1 species